rnacentral:rRNA from 1 species
CCCUUAGAUGUUCUGGGCCGCACGCGCGCUACACUGAUUCAUGCAACAAGUUUUGUCCUUGGCUGAUAGGCCUGGGUAAUCUUUGAACGUGAAUCGUGAUGGGGAUAGAUGAUUGCAAUUAUUCAUCUUCAACGAGGAAUUCCUAGUAAACGCAAGUCAUCAGCUUGCAUUGAUUACGUCCCUGCCCUUUGUACACACCGCCCGUCGCUACUACCGAUUGAAUGGUUUAGUGAGGUCUCCUGAUUGGCGUUUUGCAGCUGGAAACAGCAGUGGGAUGCUGAAGAGUUGAUCAAACUUGAUCAUUUAGAGGAAGUAAAAGUCGUAACA